CAGAGAACUCUGCAGAGAUAGUUUGCUAGCAAUUAUAAGGAGGACUUCCUUAAUUUAGGAGAGUUUUGUAUGACUGGAUGUGUUUUUAAAAGUAAUUCAAACAGAAGUUACGGGCUUGAUGCAGAAAUUACUGGGAAGACUGAGCCUCUGUUUCUAUUGUGAACCAAAGUGGUCUUCCUAAUUAGUGGUGAUCAUUUAUUACAGACUUUUUAGUAGACACCUGCUGCUCCUCAAACGGACAUGGAUAACACGUAGCUCAGUGAGGCCCAUCUGAGAAGAGAAUACAACUGGGGACAGAGAAACAACCAAACUCUACUGUGACAGUACCCGAUAAGAGGAAUUUACCGAAGGUCAACAAAUCCCAUUGAGUACUGUAGAAUGACAUAGCUGAAUUUCACAGGAAGCCAUUGAGCAGACACACUGGAAUGAGUGAUCUGGAAAGAACAGCAUAAGAAAACAGAGUAGAAAACUGCAUAAGUGAAUAUAAAGCUCAAAUUCUGCAGUGUUACUCAUUGUGACUUUGAAACUGUGGCAAAUCUCCUGAGUGUUACUAAGAUUGAUGGGCUAAAGAAGCAUGGCAUACUUUUGGAAAAUGCCUUUGACGCAAGAUGAGUUACAAGAAGGACAAUCUGAGGACCAAGCGUCUUACUCAAUGUAUCAUUUUAAUCCUGAUAGCCAGGUCAGUCUAGGAGUUGAUCAAAUAGUUGGUGAAGGCGGCAGUGAAAUACCCUUUUAUGGUCCAGCAUAUUCACGUGACCUUGAAGAAAAUGAGUUUUUCUUGGAUGCAGCAGAAGAACAUUUAUAUGGAGUAAAUCCACCUCAAAUUCCUCAUAGGGAUCCUUACUUUGGAAGCCCCACCUCUCACUGGCAGCAAGUCAGGGUGCCACCAACAAUUGGCUUCAGACCUUCUUUGCUAUCCGGAUGUAGUGACCUCUCAGUUGAGAAUUCCUAUCCCACAUACCCCAUUGGAACACUUUAUGACUAUUGUCCACAUGGAAGAAAUAACUUGAGUCCAACUGCAGAUGAAUUUGGGUCAGAUGUGGAGAAAGAGAAUAAAAAUCUGAAUUUCUAUAUAGGCUUUGAACAUAUAGACUAUCAAUAUCCCAUUUUCUCAGACGACAAUGCAAGCAGACAAGGAAUGAAAGAUAAAAGGAGAAAUGACAGUAAAUCUUUCCUCGUGAGCUCUGGGGAAACAUACUUAACAAACCUUCCUAGAGAAUUCACCACUGGACCUGUCUGGCCCAGCGUCAGCUCUGCAGACAGCACAGAGGUAUGUGCCAAAUUUGUAUGGUUGAAAGACUUAAAUACCUUGGUUUUGACUGUCCCCUGUCUUACAUCUUGUGUACUCACCCACACCUGUGUGAAGUGGGUGAGAAAUGGCACUCAUUCUGCACAUGUCAAUGGGCUUUGGAUCAGGCCCAUUGAAGCCAAUUGAAAGAAUUCCAUUGAUUUUAAUGGGCUUUUGGAGCAAGUUCUGAAUAACUACACAUGAGGCGAGGCAGUGGGUAAUCAGGCAGCAAAUAUUUUUUUUCUUGGCACUCAGUUUUUCCUGUAAUGCUUUUAUAUGUUAAAGAGGAAGCUACCUUUAUAAAUAAACAGUACAUUGACUCUUCUUGAUGAUUAGUUGGGAGGAAAGCUUCUAAAUUUUACUUUCUUUGUAGAAUAAUCUGUCUUUUCAGUCAGAAGAGAACCAAGCAGCCCAUAAGAAAUCACUUUAAAAGGGAAAGGAGACUGCUUAGUCUGACUAAUAAGAAUUUUAUGUUGGCUAGAUCUGUCCCCUCUUACUUGUGGCUUACCGAACUUACACUUAAAUGUGUGGUCAUAUCUCUCCCAUCUGCCCAUUAAAAAAGACUGCUUCAUUUUUUAAAGUAAUGGAACCAGUUUCUCUACUGAUGUAAUUGGUUUAACUCCAUUGAUUCUAAUGGAACUAGACCAGUUUGGACUAGCUGAGGAUCUGCUCUGUGGUCCAAAAUGCUCCAGUGGUGUAUAUUAUAGUAGUGUGCUUUUGGACCACUAACAUUGUUUCGAUCAUUGGACUGUUACUACUGUAGAGCAAAUGGUAGAGCAAAGUAUUGUAGGGUGGGCUUAUUACAGAGGUAACAAAAGAUCUGUAAUAGCAGGGCAUUAUGCUGAAUCUGUUUUGCUGUGUGGCCAAAUUUACUAUCUCUAUCUCUGUUCAAGCUGACUUGUUCUAAUCCUGAGAUUUGGCACAAUGACUAU